rnacentral:rRNA from 1 species
AAUGGGCGAAAGCCUGACGGAGCAACGCCGCGUGAGGGAGGAAGGCCUGUGGGUUGUAAACCUCUUUUCUCAGGGAAGAAGUUCUGACGGUACCUGAGGAAUCAGCAUCGGCUAACUCCGUGCCAGCAGCCGCGGUAAGACGGAGGAUGCAAGCGUUAUCCGGAAUUAUUGGGCGUAAAGCGUCCGUAGGCGGUUCAGAAAGUCUGCUGUUAAAGCUCACAGCUCAACUGUGAAUCGGCAGUGGAAACUUCUGGACUAGAGAGUGGUAGGGGUAGAGGGAAUUCCUAGUGUAGCGGUGAAAUGCGUAGAUAUUAGGAAGAACACCAGUGGCGAA